rnacentral:rRNA from 1 species
UACGUAGGGCGCAAGCGUUAUCCGGAAUUAUUGGGCGUAAAGAGCUCGUAGGCGGUUUGUCGCGUCUGCCGUGAAAGUCCGGGGCUCAACUCCGGAUCUGCGGUGGGUACGGGCAGACUAGAGUGAUGUAGGGGAGACUGGAAUUCCUGGUGUAGCGGUGAAAUGCGCAGAUAUCAGGAGGAACACCGAUGGCGAAGGCAGGUCUCUGGGCAUUAACUGACGCUGAGGUGCGAAAGCGUGGGUAGCGAACAGG